rnacentral:rRNA from 1 species
CUCCCAAACCCAAUGUGAACGUUACCAAACUGUUGCCUCGGCGGGGUCACGCCCCGGGUGCGUAAAAGCCCCGGAACCAGGCGCCCGCCGGAGGAACCAACCAAACUCUUUCUGUAGUCCCCUCGCGGACGUAUUUCUUACAGCUCUGAGCAAAAAUUCAAAAUGAAUCAAAACUUUCAACAACGGAUCUCUUGGUUCUGGCAUCGAUGAAGAACGCAGCGAAAUGCGAUAAGUAAUGUGAAUUGCAGAAUUCAGUGAAUCAUCGAAUCUUUGAACGCACAUUGCGCCCGCCAGUAUUCUGGCGGGCAUGCCUGUCCGAGCGUCAUUUCAACCCUCGAACCCCUCCGGGGGAUCGGCGUUGGGGAUCGGGACCCCUCACCGGGUGCCGGCCCUGAAAUACAGUGGCGGUCUCGCCGCAGCCUCUCCUGCGCAGUAGUUUGCACAACUCGCACCGGGAGCGCGGCGCGUCCACGUCCGUAAAACACCCAACUUCUGAAAUGUUGACCUCGGAUCAGGUAGGAAUAC